GCCCUGAGGGAUAGCUCAGUCAGUAGAGCAUGAGAAUCUUAAUCUCAGGGUUGUGGGUUUGAGCCACAUAUUGGGCA
rnacentral:tRNA from 1 species